AUAAAAAAUUCUCUUGUGCAGAAAAAUUAUAAUAUACCUCUGGUCGCAGAUAUUCAUUUUGCUCCAGCUGUUGCGUUGCGAGUAGCUGAAUGCUUUGACAAAAUUCGUGUCAAUCCAGGAAAUUUUGCUGAUAGGCGAGCUCAGUUUGAGAAGCUAGAGUACACAGAUGAGGACUAUCAGAAAGAAAUUGAACAUAUUGAGAAGGUUUUUACCCCAUUGGUUGAAAAAUGUAAGAAGUAUG
rnacentral:misc_RNA from 1 species